GCGCGCUGGCUGCUGCUGGAGCAAAACACGGCGCAGCCAUUUUGGAAUUUUAAUUGAGAAAUCAGUGACACACAAAACUUGUAUCGACCUACAAACCGCAGAACAGCAACACGUAGUUGUUGUUGUGGGUUCAGUCAACGCUGAAAGCGUCAACACGAGAUCAAAACACGAACCGAACAAUCAAUGCGAAGCCUCGAGGUUUAGAAAAGUCGCUUUCCGUUCAAACAUGCAGCGUCUCGUCAGACGCGUUAGCUGCUCUUUGUUACAGCAACGAUCGGCGCCGCGUUACUAUUAUACGCGUCAUUAUGAAGCGCUGGCGGUGGAGCGUCAGCUGCGGGUUAGCUACAGGUUACCUACGGGUUACCUACGGGUUAGCUACAGGUUAACUACGGGUUAGCUACCGGUUAGCUACUUGUUAGCUACAGGUUAACUACGGGUUAGCUACUUGUUAGCUACAGGUUAACUACGGGUUAGCUACCGGUUAGCUACAGGUUAACUACGGUUUAGCUACCGGUUAGCUACUUGUUAGCUACAGGUUAGCUACCUGUUAGCUACAGGUUAGCUACGGGUUAGUUGCGGGUCAGCUACAUGUUAGCUACAGGUUAACUACGGGUUAGCUACCGGUUAGCUAUGGGUUAGCUACUUGUUAGCUACAGGUUAACUAUAGGUUAGCUACCGGUUAGCUACAGGUUAGCUACGGGUUAGUUGCGGGUCAGCUACAGGUUAGCUACAGGUUAGCUAGAGCCGCACCCCGCUCACCUUCCAAGUAGAACGCCUUACACCCGUCCUCCCACAGCUUCUGGAGCAGCAGAGCCAGAACCGACGCCGGGGCUCCGCUCUCCGUCCACUCCGCCGUGCACUCGUCGUACACGACCACCGUGUCCGACUUGCAGCGCCGCAGGAACUUCUCCUUGUCCUCGUGGCUGGGGAUGAUGGUCCGCACGGGGAUGUUGCCCUUCCGGAACCUGCGCAGCAUCAGGCCGGGUAUCGCCACGUUCAUGGCGCUCUCGAUGUGGGACGACUCGUACAGCUCGUGGGAGCGACAGUCGAGCAGCAGCAGCGACGCGCCUCCGGACUCCAGCUCCAGCUGCAGCCAUUCCACGCUUUUACUCGGCGUCACGCGAGACAUAUCGGGCGAAUAUCAUACUACGAGCGAGCGCAACGCUUUAGUACGUGAUCCAUGGUGAUGCUACAACUACAUUACAGCCUCGAGCGAAGAGCAGGACGCAGGAGUUAGGAGCUGGCGCGUCGGCGGACGGAUCUCCUCCUGGUUCUCUCCACGGGUUCCAUCAGCCCGAGUGGGACUUUAGCGUCGACAGGAGCAGGGUCCGGUGGAAGCGUGACGGGUUCACGCCACCGGACUCAGGGUCUCCACGCACACGCUCGUUUCACCAUUCCGAUACAUGGCAGCUUUUCUGAGUUGACAGGACUCCGUGGGAGGAGCUUAGCGAGCGUGGGUUAAAGCCGCAGCAGUCGAACCCGAGCAGGAGCCGCUUUUCUCAAUGAACGCGGAGCGAACGUUUGCAAUGACUAGAGUGUGCGAAAAAUCAUCAGCCACAUGAAAUGAGUAAUAUUCUCUUAAGACUCGGCUGAAAAUCCUCAUCCUCAGUUAUGCCACUAACAAAAAGUUGGGAUCAAGUGUUCACGUCACUUGUUCAGUCUGUGUUGUGAACCGCAGCAGAUUAAACUACAGAAGGGUUCGUAUGAUGGUAUUAAUUAUCACAUUGGACACUUCUUUUUUAUCAA